UGGGGAAUAUUGCACAAUGGGCGAAAGCCUGAUGCAGCGACGCCGCGUGAGGGAUGACGGCCUUCGGGUUGUAAACCUCUUUCAGUAGGGACGAAGCGCAAGUGACGGUACCUGCAGAAGAAGCACCGGCUAACUACGUGCCAGCAGCCACGGUAAUACGUAGGGUGCGAGCGUUGUCCGGAAUUACUGGGCGUAAAGAGCUCGUAGGCGGUUUGUCACGUCGUCUGUGAAAUCCUAGGGCUUAACCCUGGACGUGCAGGCGAUACGGGCUGACUUGAGUACUACAGGGGAGACUGGAAUUUCUGGUGUAGCGGUGGAAUGCACAGAUAUCAGGAAGAACACCGAUGGCGAAGGCAGGUCUCUGGGUAGUAACUGACGCUGAGGAGCGAAAGCAUGGGUAGCGAACAGG
rnacentral:rRNA from 1 species